rnacentral:misc_RNA from 1 species
GAUGAAGAACGCAGCGAAAUGCGAUAAGUAAUGCGAAUUGCAGAAUUUCCGUGAGUCAUCGAAUCUUUGAACGCACAUUGCGCCCACUGGUAUUCCGGUGGGCAUGCCUGUUCGAGCGUCAUUAUCCUCCCUCAAACCCGGGUUUGGUGUUGGACCCAAGUUGUGUGAACAACUGGUCUCAAAGACAAUGACGGCGUCCGUGGGACCCUCGGUGCAACGAGCUUUUAGGAGCACGCAUCGAGUUGCAAGGACCUUCCGGGCCGGUCUCCUUUACCAUUUUACAAGGUUGACCUCGGAUCAGGUAGGAAUACCCGCUGAACUUAAGCAUAUCAAUAAGCGGAGGA